ACGGGUGAGUAAUGCCUAGGAAUCUGCCUGGUAGUGGGGGAUAACGCUCGGAAACGGACGCUAAUACCGCAUACGUCCUACGGGAGAAAGCAGGGGACCUUCGGGCCUUGCGCUAUCAGAUGAGCCUAGGUCGGAUUAGCUAGUUGGUGAGGUAAAGGCUCACCAAGGCGACGAUCCGUAACUGGUCUGAGAGGAUGAUCAGUCACACUGGAACUGAGACACGGUCCAGACUCCUACGGGAGGCAGCAGUGGGGAAUAUUGGACAAUGGGCGAAAGCCUGAUCCAGCCAUGCCGCGUGUGUGAAGAAGGUCUUCGGAUUGUAAAGCACUUUAAGUUGGGAGGAAGGGUCGUUACCUAAUACGUGACGAUUUUGACGUUACCGACAGAAUAAGCACCGGCUAACUCUGUGCCAGCAGCCGCGGUAAUACAGAGGGUGCAAGCGUUAAUCGGAAUUACUGGGCGUAAAGCGCGCGUAGGUGGUUCGUUAAGUUGGAUGUGAAAUCCCCGGGCUCAACCUGGGAACUGCAUCCAAAACUGGCGAGCUAGAGUAGGGCAGAGGGUGGUGGAAUUUCCUGUGUAGCGGUG
rnacentral:rRNA from 3 species